AAAAAACCAAAGGAAUAGACCAAAAAACACCAGUCGUUCCCCCUUUCUCCAUUAGCGAAGAAAAACCCAUCUCUAACCUUCAAAAAUUGACCACCCCAUCUCCCUGAACCUAGCAACCAAAGGUCUAAAGGAAAUUAGCAGCAACUUGCAGAAAAGAAAAGAAAACGAAAGUGAAGAGACAAAAACGAGCUAAUAACCACUGGUUUCGAUCUCACUUCCGUUACUUUUGUUGUUUAUUUGUUGUUACAUGAAAUUCAGGUCUGGCCGAAAAUUUACUUACGAGCUGACCGGAAAAUUAAUUCGGCGACCACCAACAGGCAUCCUUCCCUACUGUCACCUUUAAAACCAGUCUUAAACCAUCGAAAAACCACCCUGAACCAAUGUGAAAAUCAGCCAAUCGAGCUGGGUCUGUUUGAGGUUGUGAUUCCGGUUCUAGUUUCUAGUCCGUAACUGGUUUGGGAUUACUGUUUUGGAGCUUCUCUUUUAUUGUACCUGUUGGAAAUUUCAGCAAUAAAGUGGCAGUAGGCGUUAUGGUAUUAAUGCUCAACUAGGUCAGUUCCUUUAGCUAUUUUGGGGGUAAAUUUCUCUUUUGGCUUAAUUGGGAUUUCAUUCAAUCGUUUCUUGAUUUUAUUCAUAUUAAUUUCUUUGCAUAUCAAGUUCUUGAUUUACGAUAGGGCUUUGGUUCACUAGAAUCCAAGAAUCGUACCUUGUGAACAUUUGAUUGAAAGAACUUUAGUUGUUUAAUCGUACCUUGUGAACAUUUGAUUAAAAUAUGUUGACCGUAAAAAGGGGUUCUUUUGUACUAUUUGUGUACUAAUACUAAUUUAUUAUCGUGAUUAUGUACACGUUCGCGUGACAUGAUUACGGUUUCUAAGAUAAAUAUUCGUAGAAAAUGCUUUAAGAGCGACUUAAUCUAUCUAAAAACAAACCCGGAGUAUGCGUUCACGCAACUUUGACCAAAAUUUCUUAAUAAUAAUAAAGCGUGAUUAAUUUUGGACACGUACGCGUGACAUGAUAUUUUACGUACCAAAUGAAAUGAGUACACGUACGCAUGACUUAUUUUAGAAUAAUUUCUUAAUUAAAAGAGGUAAAUGCACAUAGGUUCUAAAAUAAGUAAUUAGACAAUUUAAUAAGCCAAAUAUGAUCAAAGCAACCAUGCUAGAACCACAAAACUUGGGAGUGCCUAACACCUUCUCCCGGGUUAACAGAAUUCUUACUCGGAUUUCUGUGUUCACAGACAACAAAUAAGAGUUAACCUUCCUCGAUUCGGGAUUUUAAACUGGUGACUUGGGACACAAUAAAUUAUCCCAAGUGGCGACUCUGAUUUAAUAUAAAUAAUCUUAUUUCGAUUGUCACUUUAUUUGGAAAAACUCCCUUAUACCCUUCUGGGUGUAGUAAAAAUGAGGUGUGACAAUACCAUAUAACAACAACAAGUCACAACUACUUCACGACGAGCGGCAAGCUCCAAUUGAAAUUCAUAUAUGCCAUAUCACCCCUUAUAGAGUUCUUAAUUUAACUUAACAAUAUCAUUAACAUGAUAAUAAAGUCAUUCAUCAGUGAUUCUAACCGUAUACCAUAUAUUUAUAACAAACGAAACAAUCUACAGCUCCAACUAUCCUCAAUUAACAACUUUAUUCACUAGUUCAUGUUUAGUCCAUCGAUAUUACUUAAUAAAUAUCAAGAUAACCUUAAGCACAUGCAAGAACACAAUAUACAUACCUCCUACAAUAGUUUCAAUUCAAAAUCCAAAUUAUAUUUAGCUUACAACAACCCUCAAUGGCAAUACAACACCAUAGAAGUGACGUAAAGCUAAUCUUCACUUCCAAUCUCAAGUUUCAUAUGUUUCGUUCACCAAUUUGCUUAAUAAACAUAUAUACAUGCAUAACAAAAGAAACAAUAUCAUAAUCAAGUUAUCUUCCCCAUUUUCCAUCCAUAAAAACAUAUGUUUAUAGCCUUAAAACAACCCAACAAAAUAUAGCAACAUCUCUUCCCAUUUUAAGUGUUAUCUUGUAAUCUUUCACUCCAACACCAAAACCAAAUGUAAUUAACUUUAAAGCCCAUCAAAAGGAUGUUAAAAAUACCUCAGGAAGUAGAUCAAUUUCUAACCCCAAGCUUAACUUAUCUCACCAUCAUCCUUAUUCACAUCACAAUACCAUGGAAAAGGGUUAUUUUUCACCUUUUGCUAACUUUGAUGUUGGAUUACGGUAUACUUUGUUAAAAUUUAUUUGGAGCCUUGGGGAUCUGUUUGGGAUGGUUUGGAGAGUGUGAGGAUGGAAGGAGGACAAAAAAUGAUCAAAUAUCAUCAAAAAAACGAGAUAAGAACAGGUAAAGGCAGGGCACUGACCAAGUGGGUCCCUGCGUAAUCUUGCGAAAAUACGAAUAUCUCUCUACAUUGAUGUUGUAUUGACAAAUGAUUUAAUGCAUUAGAAACUAGACUCAUAGAUACUCAAUUUUAUAGGUGUAUCACUCCAUAAUUCAAAGUACAUUGGGAUAAAAUCUCAGCUACAUUUGACCUGAUUUUUAGCACAUUUAUGAAUGUAACUUGUGAUGACUUUUUCCAACUUUUGUUCCACAACUCGCUUGACUUCAAACGGUAAUACAUGACUAUCAUACAACUUUAAUAACUCAUAAAAUAACCUCACUAUCAUGUUAAGCACCCUAUUCUUAUCCCAAAAGUACAUGUUAUAAUAUUCUCAACUUGUCGACUUUCGAUGAAACUUAUUUUCUUUCAUUCCUUUAGCUUCUAAGCUUUCCAACUCUCUUGGUACUUGUUAUUCAUGAUCUUAACUAUUUUUAUCCUUCAUGUUAACAUGGUUAACUUACAUACGAAAGCAUACUCUCAGCCUACAUCAAUUGACUUACGACAUACUCUCACAUACGAAAACAUGGACUGUAAUAUGUUAUGAGUGUGGAGAUACUAGGCACAUCAUAAGAGAUUGUCCCAAGCUUGGGAGAGGCAGAUUUUAUCAGAUCACUCAAGAUAUAGGCUCCAUUCAUGUUGCUACUCCACCUGCACAACCAGCUAGGG
rnacentral:lncRNA from 1 species